rnacentral:tRNA from 1 species
GCCCCAUUGGCGCAGUCGGUUAGCGCGUCGUACUUAUAAGUGCUAAUGCGGAGAGAUGCGAAGGUCAGCAGUUCGAGCCUGCUAUGGGGCA